CUGAACUCUUUUUCCUCCUCAGGUCAACAAAGGCCUCUCCUGUCUUUGACACUCAAGCCAAAAUUCUUCAGUUAUCUUGAUUCUGGCUUUUUAUCAUCCCUCACAUCUAAUCCCUCACAGCUAAUCACUGUUGAUUCUACCUGUACAACAAAUGUAUUUCUACAUCCUUUUCUAACUUCAGGCAAACUCAAUAUUAGCUAAUGGCUGCACCACUGAAACUGCUUCUAACUGUGGAUCCUUCCACCCUUGUUUCCCCUUCUUCCUCUCCUACAAUGCACUCUGCAGUGUUUUCUAAGAUCCUACAAGGUCCACCUAUUCUCAUACCUUGUUUCAUUCUCCCUGUAGCUCACCAUGAGCCAGACACAUUCACCUUUCUGCUCUUCAAAUCUGUUGAUCUCUCCCCAAUGGGAGUCUUUCCUCUGCCCAUAGGAAGGCUCUCUCCUCUCUUCUUCUAGUUGAAGUGGGAACUUCAUGCCCUCUGAGAAGCCUUUCCUAACCUUCUUCAUAGAUCCUCACAGCACCCAGACUUCUCCUUUGUGACACUACAAGCGUCACUAAACAAUUUAGGAAGUGAGUGUUUCAUAGCUCCCAGUUGUGUCAUAAGCUAAACUCUAGGAGGGCUGUCACUGCCUUACUCCCUGUUUUAUCCCCAGUGGUGAGAAGAAUGCUUCUCCUGGUUUGUUGUUACUAAAAAGGUCUUGAAUGAAUUAACUCCAUCUAACUCUGUGCAUGGUUGCCCUCAAAUUCUCAUUAUACUUACUGUACUUAUGUGCUUGAGCCUUCUCUAUGUAACCUGUUUCCUGUCCACAUUGAUCACCUCCUUGGUCUCCACCCCAGUGUCUCCACUCAGACAGGAAAUAUACACUCAUUGGCUGCUAUCUCUGGAAUAUAAUACUAACUGAAAUUUUGAAAAAAGACUAAAGCUUUAAAGGACUAAACUGACAAGGUAUUAUUGGAGUCCAGAAGAGGAGAAUUCAACCAAGUCUUGAAUCCAUUGAUGAUUCACAGAAAAAUUCCUGGAG
rnacentral:lncRNA from 1 species